rnacentral:rRNA from 1 species
AUACGGAGGAUCCGAGCGUUAUCCGGAUUUAUUGGGUUUAAAGGGUGCGCAGGCGGCCAUUUAGGUCAGCGGUUAAAUCGUGGGGCUCAACCCCAUUCUGCCGUUGAUACUGGGUGGCUUGAUUGCGGUCGAGGUUGGCGGAAUUCGUUGUGUAGCGGUGAAAUGCAUAGAUAUGACGAAGAACACCGAUUGCGUAGGCAGCUGACCAGACCGCAAAUGACGCUCAUGCACGAAAGUGCGGGGAUCGAACAGGAUUAGAUACCCUGGUAGUCCGCACAGUAAACGAUGAAUACUUGUUUUCGGCGAUAUAAUGUCGGAGGCAAAGCGAAAGCGAUAAGUAUUCCACCUGGGGAGUACGCCGGCAACGGUGAAACUCAAAUGAAUUGGCGGGG